GGGGCCGGAUUGGGCCUGGUGGCCUGCGCGGUCUUCAAAACCGUUGUGAGGGUUGAAAAAGCUCUCGGGUGGGUUCGAUUCCCACACGGUCCCGCCA
rnacentral:tRNA from 1 species